rnacentral:rRNA from 1 species
CAGUAGCCACGGGAAUACGAAGGGGGCUAGCGUUGCUCGGAAUUACUGGGCGUAAAGCGCACGUAGGCGGAUAUUUAAGUCAGGGGUGAAAUCCCAGAGCUCAACUCUGGAACUGCCUUUGAUACUGGGUAUCUUGAGUAUGGAAGAGGUGAGUGGAAUUCCGAGUGUAGAGGUGAAAUUCGUAGAUAUUCGGAGGAACACCAGUGGCGAAGGCGGCUCACUGGUCCAUUACUGACGCUGAGGUGCGAAAACGUGGGGAGCAAACAGGAUUAGAUACCCCAGUAGUCCCUGUCUCUUAUAA